rnacentral:lncRNA from 1 species
UCCCUUGAAACAGAACCUGUAAGACUGGUCAUCUUGUUCUGCACGUGUGCUAAAGAGCCAGCUACAGAUGGGGCUUCAGACGUCACUCUCACUGUGUCAGCAGCAGCAGCCCCGCCUCAGCCAUCUGUUCUGUUCGUGUUGAGACCCCACUGGCUCCAGGAAGUUCUGCCUGAUGGAGGAGACCCAGGACAGAAGUUGGGGACAGACGGGUGGCAGGCCCCAGGAAGAAUCUAACCUGUCAACCUGUCAAAACUAGUGUGGGUUUGUUUCUUUGUUUUACUCUUUAUACCAUCCUAUUUCACCCAGACCUGGCUGGUGUAUUUAGGAAGAGAAAAAGCCUUGGGAUCUUACUAAUGUCCUGGUCAAAUUGAGGGCGGGUACUGGGUGUAUGAAAAUAGUCUUCCAGGGCCAUGUGGCUCAGUGAUAGAUAGCAUGUGCUUAGCACGCAUCUAGCUAUGGGUUCGGAGAUUGGCACCCCACAAAUGCUGCUGUCACUCUGAUGUGUGUAAACAGCCGGCUGUUGUUCACCAUAUCUGUAAAUUAGUUAAUUAGAAAGCGGGAUAACAUCAGAACUCAGUGCUUGGCAGAUUAAAUAUGUGGUUUAUAGUGAGUGGUUCCUCCCCCAACCCCCACCCCCUUUAAAGUUGCCUACAAAGAAGGGUGUUUGAAUCUAGUAUUCGCUGGGAAGAAUGCAUUCAAGAGGACAAACACACUGACAAAUGGAAUUAGUAAGAAAAGGUCACUAUUGGGCCAUAUAUUAUUGUUCGGUUGUUGCGUACGUAACAAGUCAUCACAAAUUUCUCAGCCUAAGAGUGCCCGUGUGUCAUUGACUAUCAGGCAUGGUAGGUUCAGAGGCUCAAGGCUAUGACUAAGGGCUGGAAGGGUGCAUUCCUCACAGCGACUCUGGGAAGGAGUGACUUUCUCAUAGACUGCAGCUGGGGCUCUAGACCCCUUGGAGGAUGCCCGCAUCCCCUGCUGUAGACCUUGCCAUGAUCUUCAACCAACAGAGACCCUUUGAAUCUUCGUCUUUCUUCAAAAUCUCUGCCUUCCUCCUGCUUUAAGGGUCAAUGUAACUAUACCAAACCCCAGAGAUAAAUCUCUACUUGCAGUCCCAUGGCCCCAGAGGAGUUAGAGACAUUGGCAGGUUCUGGGGAUUAGCAUAGGGAGAGGAAGGGCAUCCACCUACCACCUACUGCCACUGUGGACAGGGUUUAACCUGUACCAGACAGGCGCUCAUAUUCAGUAGUGUCAGCCUUGCUGUUUAUACCCAAGUGAACUACAGAAAUGGCUUUUCUUCCUAACCAGGAUCAUUCUGUAUUUUGAAGUUAUUUUUUUAAUAAAAUUGAAUUAUGUUGUGUAAUGUGCUUAAUAGAAAAUGCUUUAUUGGAUGAUUUUGUAACAUCCUGUUUACUGCAAGUGGCAUAGUUGAUAUUGUUCAAAAAUGUAGAAAAUACUUUUGUACAUACUAGCAGUGUCUAAUUUGUAUAUACUUCUAUUAAAUUUCUCUACAACUUGAAAAGGCUCUUGUAAAAAUGAAAAUACAUGCAAAAUUUGAGUCUGCCUGCUUGGUCUUUCUUUGCUCAGACUCCAGUCGGUUUCUAAUACAGCAAGUAAAGAGACUUGUCCAUUGGCAGGUUACUGGGGUGCAGGAGUGACCUGGGAGAGCCUGUCAGAAACAUACCCUCUGGUGGGAUGCAACUCCAGGUCUCCUGCUGUCCUCAGCUGAGGAAAGUAAGCAAUUCCAGCCUCUAAUGCUCUGCCUAGGAGCAAGUCCUCUGACUGCUGGGGCACCCAUCAGACAGACAGGAGUGACAUUUGAACACAGAUGA